CAGUAGCCGCGGUAAUACGAAGGGGGCUAGCGUUGCUCGGAAUGACUGGGCGUAAAGGGCGCGUAGGCGGCGGCCAAAGUCAGGCGUGAAAUUCCUGGGCUCAACCUGGGGGCUGCGUUUGAUACUUGGUUGCUUGAGUGGGGAAGAGGGUCGUGGAAUUCCCAGUGUAGAGGUGAAAUUCGUAGAUAUUGGGAAGAACACCGGUGGCGAAGGCGGCGACCUGGUCCUUUACUGACGCUGAGGCGCGAAAGCGUGGGGAGCAAACAGGAUUAGAUACCCCAGUAGUCCCUGUCUCUUAUAC
rnacentral:rRNA from 1 species